CGCCAGAACACGCAUUAAAACCUAUCUGUAGUUUGUUCGUGUAUGACGUUCUUGCUCCUCGGUCUUGCAACAAGUAUCAAGCCAUUGCAGCACCACAAGACGUCACACAAUGCUAAAACGUAAAAUAGUCGUAUUUAUCCAGAUUAUUUCGGUGCCAUUUAAUUUAAUGUAUGCAAUCAUGGCAACCACUGGUCCGGAAAUUCCCUGCACCUCAGAACAAUAUUACGACACUGGAUUACGGGAAUGUGUUUAUUGUGCUGUUCUGUGUACCAAGGCUGAAGCUAGAGGUCAACUAACAGAAUGUUUGACCUUCUGUCCAGACUAUAUGAAUUCACGAUUAACAACGACACCAUCUCGACUACCAGCCAAGAACAGGUCGGAAACCAGAAAUAACAGAGAUAAUCACUGUAGCCGCCUGCAAGAUCAUGUCACGGGAAUGGGUGUGGCAGUUAUUAUGGUGAAUUUAGGCAUGAUGUCGGUUAUCAGUUUACUCCUCACGUGUCUCAUCCUUGACACAAGAAGACAGCUAUUCAUUCAUAGAACAGGAACGUUGAAAGAAAACACUCUGAUCGACUGAGGAUUUCUAUUGAUUGAAUUAGUUUAGCAAUUUGCUGAUUCGCUUGCUGUGUAUGUUAGCCAUAGGGUGUCGUGAUUUAUUCGGUGUCCAGUUUGACUCAGUCUCUUGAAAUUCAAAUAUCAGCCGUAUUAGCUAGGCUAUAACUUGUGACGUGUGAUGGGUUGACAAAGGAAUACAAUACGAUCCUUCUUUUCUUUCCUUUAAUAUUUCGUAUUUUAUUAGUUACCGGAUUUUUACUUAAAUAAGCGCAAAUGUAAGAUUUAGAUAAAGGACUGAAAGUUUCGAUAUAAAUUUAAAUCGGAUAAUGAAAAAGGAAUAUAUUGAACAUUUCAGUCAAAUUUAUUCAACCUGUGCGAAGUUAUGACUGUUUGAAGAAUAGCACCGUCUGGAUUUCAUUGCUACCGUUUUCAGGAUAAAUUACAUUAUUAACUGGCGUUCGAGAUACAAUUCAUUCAAAAUCACAACCAUCCGAUGGUUUAGAGUGUUGUCUAUGGUCUUGUAAUGUGAAUUUGAUACCGGAAGAAGAUCCGCAUUAGGCAGAUUUAGCUCUUACACAAUGCAUCUUUAAAGGACACGGAAAAUCGGGCGAAAUUAUGAAAGCUUUGCUAGAUUUGCUUAAUUGGGAUUACGGAACUCAUUUUACGAAUUUUGUUCUUCCCUAGUACUAGUGGCCACAAGGGCAUGUAUCUGGGUAUGGGCGUAUACCCACGUGGACAUUUUAAACAUAUUUGAGUGUCAAUGGUCUUCAGGCAGUUACACACCAAAGCAUGAAAUUUUGCAAGAUUAUCUUCCCCAACUGACUCGUUAUAUCCAUUAUGAUAUUUCUGGCAGCGGUUCUUUUCAUUAUUACCAAGUUGUAUCAUUGUUCCGUGAUCGUAUUUCAGAUUAUCAGGUUGUUUUAUUAGGAUAACACUACGUUUUAUUUUAUUCACUAUAUUAUAUUAAUAUGCGCGUGUAUUUUAUAUAGGUAUAAUAUUUUUAAUUACAAUUAUUAUAUUUUCAAGUUGUUAUACUUUUAAACAUUCCCAUGGAAAUGUGGUAGUAUAUUGCAUCUUCUCUUUCCGUUCGUCCGUCUGUGGUCCACAAUACUGUGUGAACACUCUAAGAGACUACAUUUAUUAUCUGUUGUCUUUGAAAUUUAUAUGUGGUUUAAUUUAAAACAUUUCCGGUAAUUAUUUCUCGAUUUAUUGCCCUUGUUUCACCUUUUUUUUAACCUUUUUGGCUAAAUCUAUCAUUCGACCUGUAUUAAAUUUAUAUUCGUUAUUUAGAUGAGUAACACGAAGAAAUCUAUUGAAUUUCAGCAAUUUACAGUUAUGGCCCUUGUUUCGUGUUGUUGAACCCUACGACUGCUCUAUCCAGAAAAGUUAUCAUCAGAUCUGUAUAUUUAUAUGCAUUGUUUAAAUUAGUUAAACGAAGAAGCCUAUUGACUAUUUAGAGUUAUGGCCCUUGUUUCAUUUGUUGAGCCCAGUGAACGCUCUAUCGACAAAGUUAUCGUUCUAUUGAUAUGAAAUGCCUAUGCAUUAUUUAGAUUAGUAACACGAAGACGCGUGUUGAAUUUCACUCUGCAGACCCCCCCGUGAACGCUCUAGCGACAACCGACCUAUCAUUUUAUCUGUAUGAAAUUAAUAUCAGUGCCUCCUAAAUGCUCCUAUUACCUACAAAAGAAUAAAUAUCUAACACCCCUUGUCGACUGCUCAGACUAUAUACUUGCAGUUGGUGUAUAUUUUGUUGCCUGGCAACCUAUCCUAUUUCUUGUAUUAGCCGAAAAAUCCGAUUCAAGUUAAGAUUUGUUUGUGGUGAAAAUAAUGUCUUUUAUAUCUCUAAUUUAGAAAACGGUGCUAUAUUUGUUUGUAUACGGCAUUUAUUGGUUUGGAGUUAAUCAACAUUAAAUUGAAUUAUAUAAAAAUAUUUAUUUCA